CCUACGGGUGGCUGCAGUGGGGAAUAUUGGACAAUGGGGGAAACCCUGAUCCAGCGACGCCGCGUGAGUGAAGAAGUAUUUAGGUACGUUAAGCUCUAUCAGCAGGAAAGAAAAUGACGGUACCUGACUCAGAAGCCCCGGCUAACUACGUGACAGCAGCCGCGGUAAUACGUAGGAGGCGAGCGUUAUCCGGAUUUACUGGGUGUAAAGGGAGCGUAGACGGCGGCGCAAGUCUGUAGUGAAAUGCCGGGGCCCAACCCCGGAACUGCGCUGGAAACUGUGAGGCUGGAGUGCAGGAGAGGUAAGCGGAAUUCCUGGUGUAGCGGUGAAAUGCGUAGAUAUCAGGAGGAACACCGACGGCGAAGGCGGCUUACUGAACUGUAACUGACGUUGAGGCUCGAAGGCGUGGGUAGCAAACAGGAUUAGAUACCCGAGUAGUC
rnacentral:rRNA from 1 species